GGUUAAGCGACUAAGCGUACACGGUGGAUGCCCUGGCAGUCAGAGGCGAUGAAGGGCGUGCUAAUCUGCGAUAAGCGCCGGUAAGGUGAUAUGAACCGUUAUAACCGGCGAUACCCGAAUGGGGAAACCCAGUGUGAUUCGUCACACUAUCAUUAACUGAAUCCAUAGGUUAAUGAGGCGAACCGGGGGAACUGAAACAUCUAAGUACCCCGAGGAAAAGAAAUCAAC
rnacentral:rRNA from 1 species